AAGGGAGUGCCUGCAUCACCCCCCAGGCAACUCAGCAUGGAGAGACAGAAAUUCCAUUUGUUUGGAGAAAAGGGAAGAGAACAAGAGUCUCUGCUUAGUAAUCUAGGGAAUUCUCUUGUAUCUUACCCAAGACCACCAAGGCAGUAUCUCUAUGAGCCUGAAAGAGUCACAGCAUUACUGGGGUGCCCCCUAAUGCAUAUAUGGCUACAGUAACCAGACUUGGAUCACAACACUCAAUUCUCUCUCAAUACUUGGAAUGCCUUCCCAAGAAGGACAGGUAUAAACAAGCCCACACUACAAUAAAUACCUAACUCUUCAAUGUCCAUACAUCUAUGAACAUCCACAAGCAGCAGGGUCAUCCAGGAAACAUGACCUCACCAAACAAACUACAUAAGGUAUCAGUGACCAAUCCAGAAGUGAAAGAGAUAUGUGACCUUUCAGACAGAGAAUUCCAAAUAGCUGUUUUGAGGAAGUGCAAUGAAAUUCAAGAUAACAUAGAGAAGCAAGUCAGAGUCCUAUUAGAUAAAUGUAACAAAGACACUGAAAAGUUUUUAAAAAUCAAGCAGAAAUUCUGCAGCUGAAAAAUUCAAUUGGCCUAUUAAUAAAUGCAUCAGAGCC
rnacentral:lncRNA from 1 species